CUCAAUAUAUGAAGCAAGAAGAAGCUUGAAGCAAGUUUCUCAGUUUUACUAAUCUUCUUAAAGCAAACAAAGCAUUUUAGCAUAUUGUAUUCCCUAUUCUGACUGGAACCAUCCCAACCACCGCGCCCAACCACCGUCCAACAACCCUACCGCCGUGGUGUGAUGGAGGAGGAGCCCCCGAUCUACCGUCUCCCCCACGACACGCUCCACCAGAUCUUCUCCUCCCUCCCCCUCCGCCAAAUCAUCCUCUGCCGCUCCCUCUCAAAGUUCUUCCUCCACCUCCUCUCCGCCCCCUCCUUCCUCCACCUCCUCUCCAUCUCCCACCCUCCCCUCCACCUCCACCUCCUCGCCCUCCGCCACCGCCACACCCCUCACACCUCUCACACUUCUCACACCUCUCUUUCCCUCUUCGAUCCCGACCAUAACACAUGGCUCCAUUUUCCCCUCGAUUUUCUUCCCUUCCAUUCACCUCUCCCCGUUGCUUCCUCCCACGGUCUCCUCUACCUCUGGGCCCAGCCCAAGCCCAAGCCCAACGCCAACCCUUCCCAGCCCGACACCACCGCAACCAAAUCCCUCAUCGCAUGUAACCCUCUCACGCGCACCUUCCGCGUCCUCCCCCACCUCGGCUCCGCCUGGUCCCGCCAUGGCGCCGUCCUCGUCGACGCCGACCACCGCGUCAUGGUCCUAACCGAACUCGCCGCCCUCUACUGCCACCGCACGCCGAAGUGGCUCAAAUUCUCCUCAAACCUCCCUUCCAAACCCCGCUCCCCUUUACUCAUCAACCACUCCGCUUUCGCUCUCUGCGACGUCGGUUCCCCCUGGCGCAGCCAGUGGAAACUUUUCUCCUGCAACGUCGCCGCAACUCCUUCGCCUUCGUGGUCGCGCCUCGAGCGCCAUGAAUGGGGAGACGUCUUCGACGUCCUCAAGCGCCCCCGCCUCGUUCGCGGCCACGGCAACCGGAUCCUCAUGGUCGGCGGCCUCAAGUCCUCGUUCGCCCUCAACGCGCCCUGCUCCACCAUCCUUGUCCUCCGUCUCGACCUCGACAAGCUCGAAUGGGACGAGGCAGCGCGCAUGCCGCUGGAGAUGUUCCGCGCCUUCCGUGAAUCGACCAAGUUCAAAGUCUUCGGAGGCGGCGACAGGGUUUGCUUCUCCGCCAAGAGGAUCGGAAAGCUCGCGCUCUGGGACCGGUGUGCCGCCGAAGGGGAGCAGUGGCGGUGGAUCGAUAACCUUCCCGGUAAUGGCGACGGACUCUACCGCGGGUUUGUGUUUGAAGGGAGGCUCAAUGCUGUGCCCUGAGGAUUUAGGGUUUGUGGUUGGAAACUGGUAAUUAAUUGGACUAGAUGCGUGCCAUGAACAUUUUUUUCUUUCUAGCAUUGGUCGCCCACGAGUUUUCAGCUCCCAUGACUAGAAAUUUUACAUGAUUUGGGAAGCUAGAGAUUGGCCGUUGAAGCCGCCGGUGUAGUGCGGAGAGUAGGUAGUAGGAACAUCACGCCGGCCUCUCACCCAAAAGAAAGAGCUAGCCUAAGCAGCAUCUAAUUAGAUAGGAGUGAAGUCAUCAUUUUCUUUGUUCUGUUUUGUGCGUAAGUGUAAUUUCCCUCUGUUUCACCAAUAAAGUGUGAUUUGACUUUGAAGUAUAUCUAUUUGGUAUUUAAAUGUUUGGUAGGAUUUUUGGUUUUAAUCCACUAUCAUCAUUUUGGAAUCACCAAAAAGUAUUUCUGGAGCAAACAGAAAAACCAGCUGUUUCUACAUGUAGAAUAAUAUUUUCAUUCCGUUCUUUUUUUAUUCUGUUUUACUUUUAAA